UGCAUCAGCACGUUCAACUAGUUGCUAAGUUAAAAUAGUGUUAUAAUAAUGAUUGAAAUAAUGUUAAAAUUAUGAUCAAAAAAAUAAUGAAUUUACAACAUGACUACUUUUUCUGUCAACAUACAGGGAGAGUCAGAUAGAGUACAGAUAAUAAAUGAAAUUAUUUUCAGAGCCAAGUGUGAUGGUAUACCAGCAUCAUGGAAAAAUUAGUGGAAGCAGGCCUUACGGAAAUCGGCGGGUUCAUAAAAUUGAAUGCAGAAAUCACUUGCUCAAAAAUUGCUGCAAUAAAAUCCGCGAAAUAAGUAAAAGACCACGAAGCAACGGUACCAAUUGCAAUUCGUCAAUCUAUAAAAGCGAAUAUUUUGCGGUUUCGAAUUGCAGUUAUAAAACCAAUGAGACACCGAGCGUCGGAUUCUAGUGAGGACUUGCCACAGAAAGUAACUUCACUAAAAAAAAGGACAUAUUAAAUAGUCUACAUCACAUUUUUGGUAACCACGAAAAAUAUGAUGUGUAUUAUCGCACAGGUCCAAAACCCACAAAAAAAAAUUUAGUUCCUGAUGUGGUCGAAUGUUUUUCAAGGCUUAAAGUCAUGUUUACAUAGAUUAGAAUAUAUUGCCUACAGCCCCAUCCUCAACAUGACUAAUAAUUCUGCCGAAUCAUGCAAUUCCAUUGUAUGUAAAUUUAUUGGUGGCAAAAGAAUUAAUUUUAGUUUGCGAAAUUCGUAUGAAAUGAGAUGUAAAGCUACUGGCAUAUCACACAGUAAUGCCAGAAAUUAUUACGAGGUCUUACACAAUGCCUUAAGUAAAAAAACUUCCAGUAUUACCAAAAAAUAUAUGUUGAAGAAGAGAAUAAUAAACAGACAUCGAGAUACACCGCGGAAGAAAAACCGUCUACCUCCUGCCUUUGCAGACGAAAAUUACGGGGAAAAAGAUCCUACGAUCCUGCCAUUACAAACAUGUCAGAGGAAAAGUUUUCUGAUGAAUUUUACUUAAAAAAAAACUGCUGGGGAAAGUUCUGUGGUGGAAAUAUCCACCAGCGGCCAAAGUUCGAAUCCCUUGUGGCUAAAAGAACGUCGAAAACAGCUGACAGCGUCAAAUUUCGGAAAAACACUAUAAAAGCUCUUUUGUAUAGAAAAACCACUGAAUCAAAACCAAAUAAUUAUGGAAGAGAAUGUGAGACCAUCCCAAAAGCAGAGUUUUGUACUAAAACUAGUUUGGUUGUUGAAAAGUGUGGUUUGCUUAUAGGUAAGGACGAAGAGUAUUUUUUGACUGCUAAUCCUGACGAUCUUGUUGGCAAUAAGGCAAAAAUUUCAUAUAAAGUGUCCUUAUACUGCAAGGGAUAUGACGGUGGAGGAGGCUAUAGAGCAAAGGAAAAUCGAGUUUUGAAAAUCUAUCUCUUUAAUCAAUCUCUUUAAAAUAUAUCUCUUUAAAUGCUUCUCUCACUGAAAGAGGUGAAAUAAAAAAAAAACUUCAUUUAAGUGGACGGGAGGUGGACAAAGAAAAAUUUCGCCUGUUAGAAGAUCCAAAAACAACGAGCAUUAUGGGAAAAUAUGCAAAAAAAUUUUAAAAAUUUAUAUUUCAAAUGUGUACUACCAAAAUUAGUAGAUCCUAGGUUUUCCAGAUCUCCACCUCACAAUAUAAUUCGGAAUCCCGAUCAAAGAGAUUGACUCUAAAAAACGAUUAUGGAGUUCAGUACGCUGUUUAUCCAAGUCAACAACAAGUCGAAUAUGCACCUAAAAAACUGCGUCAACGCGAAAAGGAAG